GACAGAGGGUGCAAACGUUGUUCGGAAUUACUGGGCGUAAAGCGCGUGUAGGCGGCUAAGUAAGUCGGGCGUGAAAUCCCACGGCUCAACCGUGGAAGUGCACUCGAAACUGCAUAGCUAGAGUCCUGGAGAGGAAGGUGGAAUGCUUGGUGUAGAGGUGAAAUUCGUAGAUAUCAGGAGGAACACCGGUGGCGAAGGCGGCUUUCUGGACAGAAACUGACGCUGAGGCGCGAAAGCUAGGGGAGCAAACAGG
rnacentral:rRNA from 1 species